CGGGCUGAGGACGGGGCUGUGAGGAGCGGGUGGUCUCCGCCGCGGUACGGCCAGAGGAGAGGGGCGGGAGGGGUUGUCAGAGUGCAGGUAUCCUUCCGCUGCUGCCACACGCGCUCACGUGACGCGGCCCCCUCCCCGGCUCCCUCCGGCGCUGCUGCCGGCGACCCUCACCCGGGCCGGGGCUUCUCCUGACCCAUCCUCAGCCCGAGCCGGGGCUUCUCCUGACCCAUCCUCACCCCGAUCCCCCGGGGCUGCCCCCCGAUGCCCCAGGGUUUCUCCCGACCCACCCUCACACCAGCCCCCGGGGUCCGUCCCGGCCCACCCUCACACCGACCCUCAGGGCAUCUCCCUUCCCUUCCCAACAGCCGCGCGGCGGUGCCGGCGCGAUGCUCCCUCAGCGCCUCGGGCGUCCCGCCGGAGUGAGGACUAAGGCAGGGAACACCCAGGACCUGCCUGGUGGCACUGGGAGCCGGGAGCUGCCUGCCUGGCACCUGCUGUAAUUUGACUGGCCGUGCCAAAGUGCAACGCUUCUCCUUCUCCUUGGCAGCCCCAGAACCCCAAAGGCACUGGCUUCUGGCUGGGUCAGAUGGUUGCUCUUGGCCCAUCACCCACCGGCUUAACCUAGCACCAUGUGGGCUUUGCUCCCUGCAGUCAUGCCCAAAGAUAGGUGAGGGGGUUUAUGACCAGUUACCAGCUACGAAAGUAAUCCAAAACUGUUCUGCCCUGUUCAAUUUCUAAAUAGAAAUCGUGCUCCUUCCCCAAGAGUUGACAUUGUGAGUUGGAAGCUAUUCAAUAACUGAGAGGUGAAGGGUCCAACAUGCAAGAGAUUCAUCAACACCUUUUUUUUCUUUACUCUCACUCCUAGUCAGUCCAUUAGCAUUAUAUGAGGGAGGUGAAGUUAAUGUUAGUGCUAUUAUACUUUUCCUAAAUUACAGUAAUCCUUUGAGGUGGAAAUAGCUGCAGUGGGGCUGGCUCUGGCACUUUUAUCCAGAGCAUUGCAUUGUUCACAUUUUCCCAGAGAGCUCAGCUCUGGGAAGCACAAGAUUAUAGGACAAUCUCUAAUACAAAGCUGAACAAAAGACCCCCGAAGCCUCAAAACCAGAGGCAGAUUAAAACAAUUUCAUAUACAUUACAAUUUAAAACCUCAUUAUUUUCACUUAACCUCAUUCAUUUUUAAUACAUGGGAAUUGCCAAAACUGGGUUAAGUUUCCAAAGGGAUAAUAGGCAUGGCUUGCUGAGACACCUGGGUUACUACUGGCACACACGGCCACAGGCUGCAGCCAUGGGGAUCCCUUGGUGAAGAAUGGUCGGUCUACAGUGGGACUGAGGAAACACUGAACAGCCCAUUGAACAGUCAGUUUUGAGACCAUUGGCCAAAUUCAACCAUAUGUGAUGGAGAGGAAUAAGCUCAAAGAUACUGGAUUCCAGCAAGUUUCAUGAAAACAGACAGCCACAAUGGAGAGACUUUUAUUUAUAAGGUAUGGCUGAAGUGGGAGUUCAGCUUUUAUUGGCAAAUUUAUGAAGCAGUCAGUGCAAAUCAUGAAAAAAAAUCUUUGACCAAGGACAGUACUUUCUUGAAUUAGUUUUAUUGUUCAUGAAAUAUUAUUGUUUCCUUUCCUUAUGCCCAAAUUCCUGCUUUUAUAUGAAUCUGUACCUUUGCAUUAGCUUUAAAUACAGGUUCAAAAAUCAUUUCCCCAAAACACCAUUAUUUUCUGAACUACAUUCUCCCCUUCAAAAACAGGUUUUUGUUAGACCAUGUAAUGCUGUUUUAUGUAACACAAAGGCCCUGGGUUUUUUUCCAUCAGCUUGUAGGACUUCAGGAUGCUGAAGAUAAAAGUCACUCUCAUUUUUAUUCACUCCUGGCUUUCUCAGUCUGGAGUUGCUUAUGGAACAGGUUUUAAUGGAUAUUCUCUGCAUUCCUUGCUUCUUAAUGACAUAUACAACCUGAAUGUAACAGACUGGCUUUUCUGGAACUUCAGUCUUAACUAGAAUGUUCAAGAUACAAACACAACACAAAGAUAUUUCCCAGAAUGGUUGGAAACUCACACAUUUACUACCUUUUAGAUUAUUGACAACAAGCAAGAUGGCUGAGCUGGAAUAUAAUGUAGGCAAGCCCAAGCUUACACACUGAAAGUCCUCAUAAUGAAAUGUCUACCUAAAAAAAAAAAAAAAUCUGCUAGUGCUCAGUGCCUACAAGGCAGAAGCAAUACAUAAGCACUUUGCAACCCUGUCACUAGAAUGAAUUUCGAUGACACAAGAUGAAGGCAGCCGUGCCCCUUUAUGCCAGAGCUUUCAGUGUAACUGAUGCUGCUUGUGUGAGGGAUGUUGAAAAAAGGGAGAAAACCUGUGCAGAGGCCUUAACAAGCACCAGAGGGAAUUUACAAUGCUGUCUUUUUAGACUAUAAUUAAUCUUUUCAGAAUGAUCUUCCUGAAUUAAAAGAGUAUUUGGUACUUUCUACUUUUCUAAAGGCCCGAGGGAUGCCCUGAAACAUAAAAAAUUACACCAUACUUUUGGCAAACUGUGCUGUUCCAGAUAUGUAGUGUAUCUUAAGCAAACACAAAAAAUGAAAGGGGAAGCAUACAAAGUGAUAGCUAAACCAAUUAUUUAGGAUCUUGUUGUCAUGUUUCUUUGCAGAUUUUUGGUCCUUAUAAUGGAAAAAAUGUGAUCUAAUUAAGUUCUAAUUUAAAAAAGAAUAUAUGAAGGUUGUUAUGGAGUAGUUUUAGUUUCUUCCUUCUUUCUAUACCAAGCCAUACUGCAUCCAGGAAGCAAAGGGAUGAUUUCUACCCACAUUGCCAGAAUUUUCCCUCUUUCAUCUUAGCUCUCCACAAGUCAUUUGCUCCAAUUCAACCAGAGUCUAGUGCUUAAAAUUCUGGAUGGAGUAAGGCUCGAGCUACAGCACACCAAAAGUGAGUCAUCUUUGUGUGUUUCUACUCAUUUACGAAGACCGAAACAUGUUAAUAAUAAGCAGCUCUUCUUUGUUUCUUUGGUCAUACUGGGAGAGGCAAACUAAAGAAUGGAAAUAAACAAGUUUGGUGUUAAGAAAUAAGCACUUUCAUGGGCCCCAAAGAUCUUUAAGUAUGUGCAUAUUUCUCUUCUAGCUCAGAAUGUGACUGAGACAGCACAUGAUGUGUUGCCUGAUGAAAGAACUAUGUUCAGUUAAUGCAUGUUGCCAAGUCUGUGUCUGCAAACAGGAGCUUGAUUUGCUAUAUCUGGGCUGUGACUGGUCUUAGUCCUUCACAAAGGCGGCAAAAUAGCAGAAUACAUAAUAGAAUACAGGGAACUUGAGGUUUUUGAUCAGUUAUUCUAGAACAAGGGUAGUCAAAUCUAGGCCACAGGAUUAAAACACAGCUUGAAUCCACUCUCAUUUGUGAUAUAAACAUUUUGGAAUGUUCUGUCCUUUCCCAGUCCACCCACUCAUGUCAAAAAUUGAUGUAGUUGGGUGUGCUGGUGAUGCCAAGGUCAUGGUCAGCUGUGGGCAUGGUCUCUGGUUAGGCAAGGCUUUCUGAUGCCCUGCCUAACCAGAGACCUGUGUGUUAGACCUUUUCACUAGCGUGCUGCCUCCUCAGCUGCUGGGUUACAAAACAAGGCAGCAUCUAUUACACUGCUGAACUCAGAUAUCACUUCCUCUGUCAUCUCCAUUCAUAGUUACAUAUGACAUGCAGAAUUAUUUUCAGCUCUACUUGGCUUGCCUGUAAUCUAACUUUGCAGCUCCCCUCUGGACUCUGUAAAUACAGCAGCAGGAAGAAGCCACCUUUUGUCCCUUUGGGCCAGGAGGACAUGCCAAACAUCAAUGUAGAUGUGUUCCUGAAGACCAAAAAGACCAAACUGCUUUCUGAAUCAGCUUCAUAACCCUGACACUUGAGACACGUGGGGAAGCAGAGACAUUCCCUGGAGAUCUACUGGGGUCAUUAACACAGCCAGGCUGAUUCAGCAGUACAUCUACACGUGCCCAACAGCGAAGAUACAAGCUUGAUGGUUUUAAUGUGGUGCUCAACAUAAAUACACACCUAUUUCCUAAAUAAGUACGUGCCUAAUUUAAGGCUCCAGUGUCUUACUGUUCAGUGCACCCAGACCCCACUGCUCUGUCAUUGGAAACCAGCAAUGUGGGGCUGUCCCCCAGAAGAGUUGCUGUGGUUGUGCUCUUCACCCUACCUCACUUGGGCACAGGUGAAGCCCUCAGGCUCCUGGCAGGCUGCCACUGUAAACCCAGCACAGCUGGCUUGAGUGGAGAGUAAGGCCUCAAUAUUGCAUUUCAAACAUUGAUUAGUAAAGCAGGUGAUUGAAAAAAAAAAGGUGUUUGUUUAGAUUAUGGAGAUUGUGGAAAAGAAAACAGUUCCAUAAAUCUGAAGCUGGAAAUGCUACAGCAGUCGGGUACAUGGGAUUCCUCUGAAUGAGCUUCCCUUCCUCCACCUUUGGCUGCAAGGAUGAAAGUCUUUCUCAGAGAAGUGCUCGACAAGCAUCUGAAAUCCAGCUCAACAGAAAGCCAUUCAAAGGGGUCAAGAGCAAGGAUUCAUGCAGUAAAAUAAAUACCUGGAGAUGGAAAAAUCUUUCUCCGUUUUUCCUCCCACGUGUUUUGGAAUUAUUGUGCCAGGAAAUUAUUAAAUCACACAAGUUUCAGUAAUGAAUGUAUUGCUUGGAUGGCAUGGAAAAUUGCUGAGGGAUAUGGCUAAGGAAAAUAACUUUCCAAAGUUGGUGAUGAAAGAUCAGAUAGAUGAGCAGGACUACAACUUAUAUGGACUUUUGAAAAUAGUACUGCUAUGGGAGGAUAUUCUUCAAAUUAAUCCAAGUGAGCAUUAAGAGGAGGCAUGUGCAUAAGAAGCAGAGGGAUCUUUGUUCAAUAUUUUCUGGUGUCAUUCAGUGCAAAGGUUCCCAGUGAUAUUUCGGUUUAACUGGGAAGACUGACACCUAAUUAGAAGAAGGACAAAUCAGAGCUGCUAAAGCACUUCUGUAUCUAGAAGGCCGUUUUUAACUUUUGAGACAAAGGCUACAAUUUGCAAAAUGCCAAAAAUGCCAUUUCAGGGCAUGCCAGAGUUGUUCUGUGUCUCAAUAAGGUUGGUGCCUUCAUAAGAGGCCCCUCACAAGCUUGUUUUCUCACCUGCACUUUGCUGAAUGUUGCAAUUCAGUUUUAGGUCAUUGAGGAAAAAUUAACCCAUCACUGAAUUAUUGCAACUAUGUCAUUUAGGAAAAAACACCUUUAUCUCCAUAUGGUGAUACAGUAUGUACUGAUGAAUAUUUUCUACCUGUCUUAGUCACACCUGCACAGGGAGCAUGAGGAGAAGAGGUGGCAGUGGCAGUUUGGCUGCAGCAAAGUGGGCUCUGCAUUGUCACUGACUGUGCCUGCCUUGCAUUCUGAGCACGUACAGGGAGGAUCCCAAAGGCACCCACAAACCCUGCUAGCUCCUAUCCAUGCUGUGUGACUGUGUGGAGCUUUGGGAACAAAAUUAAAUGCCAGAAAUGUCAGCAGCCUGUAACAACAAUGUACAACAAAGCAGAUAAAAUGACUCACAGGUCUUCUCUGCAGUGCUGUUAGCAGCCUAUAUAUUUUCAGGGCAGAAAAUAAUCUGGAAUUGUCUGAGUCUCCAUCAAUAUCCUGCCUUCUGAGGGUUCUUAGCUUCCCCUAAAAGUAAAAUUAUAAGUAGUAAGUCUUUGGGCAUUCAGUCCUGGUCAUCCUACCUGCAUUAUUCUAGGAGAAAAAAUACAAGCUGAUGUAGUUCCUCUAAAGCUUUCUCCGUGAGCAGGUGGAUGCAAUCGGGUUUCAACCUUUACUUUAUUACAUUACCUAUUUAUACCAAACUGCUGGAUAUUUUGGCUGCCUCUUUGCCCAGUCUUCACUCAAAGAGGGAAGGAACAUCCUUUCAUCAUCAUCCAAGAGGAUCAGUGGGCUGAGGUGUAAACAGGUUGGCCAACCCAGGCACAAGGAAAUGGUGAAAAUAGAACCAUAAAGUUAAGACUUUGAAGACCUGAGGUUGGAAGCACUGGCUUGCAGUAACCCAGCCCUGGAUCCAUGUAACUUACCCUGGGUCUUAUUGGGAGCCAAGAGCAGACUGCACCACCACCCUUUGCAGUUGCUUCACACAAGGCAAUCCCUGCAGGAAUUUUUCUUCAAAGGCACCCACUCAACAAACAUUACAUACAAACAAAGAGCACAGAAGCUCUAAGAGAAAUUUGGGGCUCAAAUUGUAGGGCAAUCAGGUCAGAUUUUAAUACCUACAUAAUUCAAACUCAAUUAGAACUGGCAAAAAUCAAUACACCAGUGAGGGCAUACUGAAGAAAAACUCCUCCCUAAGCUGUCUUCCCCAUAGGUGGAGACUGAGUGAAUUUAAAGGAUGAAAGAGCAAGGAAGAAAUUGGAAGUCAGGAAUAAAGAAACCAGACUACCCAGUUUACAAAAUAUAUAACGUCAGUAAGAAAUUUUGUGAAGUAAAAUCAAAGGAAGGCAAACUGUAAUUCUUCCCAACUGCCCUAACAUGUGAGAUUUGAAAUUAUAACCUCUUUUGGGCAGUGGCUCCCGCUCUAGGGCUGUCAGCACCUGACAUACCCAUUCCUAACUUUCUUCUUUCUACACUGGAGGGUUAAUGCCCACAUCUAUGGUGGCACAUGUGCAUGGCCUUGGUGGCACACUCCAUACUCUUGUUGCCCUCACUGACCCUGGCAGGCUGUGAGACACCCCAGGGCUGGCCAAAGGUUGGUUCAAGUGACAAAUUCAGCAGCUCUUCAGAGUGCUGGCCUGGAGUAGAGCUCAGUGCUGGCCAGUGGCUGCUGUCAUUAACAGAGAGCAGAUUUACAGUUAAAGUGCAGGAAAAAGGAGUCAUCUUGCACGGAGAUGCCAAGGAGGCCCACUGUUUUCAACAAAAUAGCCACAGCUAGAGCUGGAAGCCCAUUUUCUAGAAGGUUCUGCCUUGCCAAUAGCAAAAUCACAGUUCAUCUAGGCUUUUUAUAGUGGAGGCAGGGCUGCACAGUCACUGUAUUUAGUAAACUGUGCCAGGCAUUCAGGGAUCUUCCUGAUUUGGCAGCCUGUUUAUUCUGGGGCACCUCCCUGCUUGCUUUCAACUAAACCCUACCAAUCCCUUCAGUUCUAGCCCCAGUGGGGUUGUGCUUCCUAUUUUCCCAGUUUGGGAAUUGGCAAUAAAUUUAUUUGGAAGCAAACAAACCAACCAACCUACCAAAAUGAAACGAAAAUUGUAGAACUCCCUCUUAAAGCCAAACCUCUUUCCAAAAGCAGGGAGAGCAGCAGGCAGAACUAUGGGGUCCUUCAUUCCAACAGCCCCAGCUCUGCCUGGUGUCAUGUACUUGGAUGAGCAUCCUUUACCUCCCCUUCCUCACCCAUUCCCCAGGAGAGCAGGGACUGCACUGUAAGCCAGGCGUCCUUGAGAGAACACAAAGGGUUGAAAUGCCUGACCAGCCAUAAACAAACCGCUGUGAGAAAUAUCCUUAAGACUCAAACUGAUUCACAUGCCAGAGAGCAAGCAAACUAUUAAUAUUCCUAGCAGAGAUCCAGAAUCCACUGCACUGCUCCAUUCUCUGUCAUCUCCUACUGUGCUCUUUGUAAUAUUUUGAUUUCCCUAUAUGCAACAAUUAAGUGCAGAGAUGGAAGCACUCUCAAUUCCCAUUUGUUGAAGAACUCUCAGCAAAAAGGCAGCAAACCAAAGUAAUCUGAAUU